rnacentral:rRNA from 1 species
AUGAACGCUGGCGGCGUGGAUAAGGCAUGCAAGUAGAACGGCCCGCAAGGGCAGUUGCGAACGAGGUAGUAAUACACAGGUACAAACCCCCAAGUCAGGAAUAACCUACCGAAAGGUAGGCUAAUACUUGAUAGUCCCGCAAGGGUAAAGAUUUAUCGCUUGGGGAUUGGCCUGUGCAGUAUCAGCUAGUUGGUAGGGUAAUGGCCUACCAAGGCAAUGACGCUUAGGAGACCUGAGAGGGUGACCUCCACCGAUGGUACUGCGACACGGACCAUACACCUACGGGUGGCUGCAGUCGAGAAUCUUCCGCAAUGGACGCAAGUCUGACGGAGCGACGCCGCGUGAUUGAUGAAGUCUUUCGGGAUGUAAAGAUCUUUUAUGUGGGAGAAAGUUUUGAUAGUACCACAUGAAUAAGGGGUUGCUAAACUCGU